AUUGAACGCUGGCGGCAUGCCUUACACAUGCAAGUCGAACGGCAGCACGGGAGCAAUCCUGGUGGCGAGUGGCGAACGGGUGAGUAAUAUAUCGGAACGUGCCCAGUCGUGGGGAUAACGUAGCGAAAGCUACGCUAAUACCGCAUACGAUCUAUGGAUGAAAGCGGGGGAUCGCAAGACCUCGCGCGAUUGGAGCGGCCGAUAUCAGAUUAGGUAGUUGGUGAGGUAAAGGCUCACCAAGCCGACGAUCUGUAGCUGGUCUGAGAGGACGACCAGCCACACUGGGACUGAGACACGGCCCAGACUCCUACGGGAGGCAGCAGUGGGGGAAUUUUUGGGACAAUGGGCGAAAGCCUGAUCCAGCAAUGCCGCGUGCAGGAAG
rnacentral:rRNA from 1 species